CUUGCUUUUAACUCAUGGAACUAAACUCGGGUAUCAGUUCAUGCGAAGUCCCGCUGUCUGUCUGGUAGUGGAACUCGUUCGGUACGUGAACGAGGACCACCUGGUAGAAGGGUACUUGACCUGCGGUUAACCGCAGAAACCACAAGUUAAUGAUCGCCACGCGGCCUGCUGUAGGGGGUCGUCGUUUGCUUGAUAGUUCGGUAGAUCCCGUUCGGUACUUUCGAUGCGAACGUCGAUGCCC